CCUAUUGUUUUUUUUUUUUUACUUUAAAGCAUGAAGAACAUGUUUUUUUUUGUACAAUGAAGAGUUUAUAGUAGUAGUAUGGACUAACCACUACUUUACAGUUCAAACACUAUACAAAUACAUGAAUUUGCAAGUCUAAAGCUAAGGGUAAUGGUUAAGUUGUCGCAGUCCAGCUUGCCAACGUUUACAGUUUCUGCCGCGAAUGUGAAUUAGCAACGCAACCUCUCGGCAGAACUGGUUCUCCUCUAAUGCUUUCCUUUCAAAUCGAAUAUAGUUCCUGUUUCUCCAAAUAAGUGCAAUAGUGAUCACAAAGGCAGAAACAGCAACAGCCUUGUGCCACAGUUUACUCCUAGCUUGACAGCAGAUCCAUUGAAG
rnacentral:lncRNA from 1 species